AGUGUACCUGAGAAGAAAGACGUGGCUCGGUGCGUUCAGCGUGAAAAAGUGGCUGAAUAAAUCAAUCCCGGACGUAUUUCAUCAAUAGCUCUCGACCUGCUGGAAGGCCUACGCGCCCCUGGGUACAGCCACGUGUUUGUGGGCCCUUCCGCGCUCACCUGCGUCCUUAGGACAGGACAGUGUCUUAUUCACCCCUGCAGCUCCUAAGCCGAGCGCUGUCACUCACUUCGGGUGGCCCCUUAAAGACGCUUGCUGAGGGACGUGGUGGGCGGGCAGCAGCAGGCCUGGUCAGACACGGCAGGGACGUUCUGAGCUGCUGGCUGGGGGUGCAGAGCCCCAAGCCCGAGACACAGGCGCAGCUGGCACAAGUCAUGUCCCAGAGAUGCUGCAAGAACGCCGCACACCGCAGGCCUCGGAACAGAAGGAAGGUGUUUUCUCAGUUCUGGGGCCACGAGCCCGAGAUCCAGGGCGGGUGGGAUCACGCUCCCUCCGGAGCCUCCAGGAGAAGGUCCUUCCUGCCCUUCCAGCCUCUGGGAGCUCCAGGCGUCCUGGGCUUAUGGCCGCGUCCCUCCCAUCUCUGUCUCUGUCCUCACACGGCUUCUCCCCUGCACGCACGUGUCUCUGGUAAGAACACCAGUUGUUAGAUGUAGGGCCCACCUGGAUAACCCAGCAUGACCUCAUCUCCCGAUCCUUACCGUGAUUGUAUCUGCAAAGACCUUAUCUCCAAAUAAGGCCACAUCCACAUGUACUCGGGGCUACGGCUCAGACAUGUCUUUUUAGGGGACACAAUUCAACCCACUGCAUUGACCCUCAGUUUAGCAUGGCUGUUCUUGAGCUGUCGAAAUCAGGGAACUCACGAGGAUGCAGAGGGCCUCGGGGCCACCCCCAUGUCGUGGACAGGGACACGAAGACCUGGAGUCGACCAGGAGGAGAUGCCUGCCCCAGCCCCAGAGCAGGGGCGAUUGAGCCGAGCCGUCUGGGAAGACACAUGAGGCCACACCGGAGUCCCCGGGACAGGCAUGCCCACCGCCAUCAACAACCGGAAAACUGGACAAAGCACACGAGGCAGCUGUCUCCAGACCUCAGGCUGCAGGCACUGAGCAUGCUGCCCGGGGAGCUCACUGCGUGCACAGCUGUCUCCCUGAGCUGAGACGACGGAGAGCCGAGGUCGCGGAGGCAGAAUGUGCAAGCAUCCAAUCACGCGGGAG
rnacentral:lncRNA from 1 species